UACGUAGGGCGCAAGCGUUGUCCGGAUUUACUGGGCGUAAAGAGCGCGCAGGCGGUUGGGUAAGUCGAAUGUGAAAGCCCCCGGCUCAACUGGGGAGGGUCAUUCGAUACUGUCCGACUCGAAGGCAGGAGAGGGAAGCGGAAUUCCCGGUGUAGUGGUGAAAUGCGUAGAGAUCGGGAAGAACACCCGUGGCGAAGGCGACGUGCUGGGCUGAACCUGACGCUGAGAUGCGAAAGUGUGGGGAGCAAACGGG
rnacentral:rRNA from 1 species